rnacentral:rRNA from 1 species
UACGCAGGUCCCGAGCGCUGUCCGGAUUUAUUGGGCGUAAAGCGAGCGCAGGUGGUUUAUUAAGUCUGGUGUAAAAGGCAGUGGCUCAACCAUUGUAUGCAUUGGAAACUGGUAGACUUGAGUGCAGGAGAGGAGAGUGGAAUUCCAUGUGUAGCGGUGAAAUGCGUAGAUAUAUGGAGGAACACCGGUGGCGAAAGCGGCUCUCUGGCCUGUAACUGACACUGAGGCUCGAAAGCGUGGGGAGCAAACAGG